GGAAUCUUCUACAAUGGGCGAAAGCCUGAUGGAGCAACGCCGCGUGUGUGAUGAAGGGUUUCGGCUCGUAAAACACUGUUGUAAGAGAAGAAUGACAUUGAGAGUAACUGUUCAAUGUGUGACGGUAUCUUACCAGAAAGGAACGGCUAAAUACGUGCCAG
rnacentral:rRNA from 1 species